ensembl:processed_transcript
AUGCUUACGUGCUGCACCCUUCACCGACCCUUCAGUCUAACCUGGAUGCUUAUAGAUGUUGGAAGAGGUGAAAUUCUUCACCAAGUCUCCACACUAGUGCAGAAGGGACCUAGUUCCCUGAUCUGGAGCUAUAGUUGGAUGAUUUCUCUGGGUUUGGGAGCUUGGAAUUGCACCAUUGGACCAAAAAUGGCCGAUUCUAUGUUUGCCCAGGCCACUGCUGCAUCAAGGCCCAGAAAGAUAAGUGUGGAGGGUCUCCGUUUCCUUUUGUGUUGUUUGGGGAUAUGAAUUCACCUGCUAUAUAUGGUGACUUGUGGUGCACGCAUUAUUAA